CCUACGGGGGACAGCAGUGGGGAAUUUUCCGCAAUGGGCGAAAGCCUGACGGAGCAAUGCCGCGUGAAGGUAGAAGGCCUACGGGUCAUGAACUUCUUUUCCCGGAGAAGAAGCAAUGACGGUAUCCGGGGAAUAAGCAUCGGCUAACCCUGUGCCAGCAGCCGCAGUAAGACAGAGGAUGCAAGCGUUAUCCGGAAUGAUUGGGCGUAAAGCGUCUGUAGGUGGCUUUAUAAGUUCGCCGUCAAAUCCCAGGGCUCAACCCUGGACAGGCGGUGGAAAUUACCAAGCUGGAGUACAGUAGGGGCAGAGGGAAUUUCCGGUGGAGCGGUGAAAUGCGUAGAGAUAGGAAAGAACACCAGCGGCGAAGGCACGCUGCUGGGCCGACACUGACACUGAGGGACGAAAGCUAGGGGAGCGAAUGGGAUUAGAUACCCGUGUAGUC
rnacentral:rRNA from 1 species